rnacentral:rRNA from 1 species
AGGCCCUACGGGGCGCAGCAGGCGCGAAACCUCCGCAAUGCACGCAAGUGCGACGGGGGGACCCCAAGUGCCACUCUUAACGGGGUGGCUUUUCAGGAGUGUAAAAAGCUCCUGGAAUAAGGGCUGGGCAAGACCGGUGCCAGCCGCCGCGGUAACACCGGCAGCUCGAGUGGUAGCCGCGUUUAUUGGGCCUAAAGCGUCCGUAGCCGGUCCGAUAAGUCUCUGGUGAAAGCCCACAGCUCAACUGUGUGAAUCGCUGGAGAUACUAUCGGACUUGAGGCCGGGAGAGGCUGGAGGUACUCCCAGGGUAGGGGUGAAAUCCUAUAAUCCUGGGAGGACCACCUGUGGCGAAGGCGUCCAGCUGGAACGGACCUGACGGUGAGGGACGAAAGCCAGGGGCGCGAACCGGAUUAGAUACCCGGGUAGUCCUGGCCGUAAACGAUGCGGACUUGGUGUUGGGACGGCUUUGAGCUGUCCCAGUGCCGAAGGGAAGCUGUUAAGUCCGCCGCCUGGGAAGUACGGCCGCAAGGCUGAAACUUAAAGGAAUUGGCGGGGGAGCACCACAACGCGUGGAGCCUGCGGUUUAAUUGGAUUCAACGCCGG